rnacentral:rRNA from 1 species
UACGUAGGGCGCAAGCGUUGUCCGGAAUUAUUGGGCGUAAAGAGCUCGUAGGCGGCUUGUCACGUCGGGUGUGAAAGCCCGGGGCUUAACCCCGGGUCUGCAUUCGAUACGGGCAGGCUAGAGUGUGGUAGGGGAGAUCGGAAUUCCUGGUGUAGCGGUGAAAUGCGCAGAUAUCGGGAGGAACACCGGUGGCGAAGGCGGGUCUCUGGGCAGUAACUGACGCUGAGGAGCGAAAGCGUGGGGAGCGAACAGG